rnacentral:rRNA from 1 species
AUUGAACGCUGGCGGCAGGCCUAACACAUGCGAGUCGAGCGGAUGAAGGGAGCUUGCUCCUGGAUUCAGCGGCGGACGGGUGAGUAAUGCCUAGGAAUCUGCCUGGUAGUGGGGGAUAACGUCCGGAAACGGGCGCUAAUACCGCAUACGUCCUGAGGGAGAAAGUGGGGGAUCUUCGGACCUCACGCUAUCAGAUGAGCCUAGGUCGGAUUAGCUAGUUGGUGGGGUAAAGGCCUACCAAGGCGACGAUCCGUAACUGGUCUGAGAGGAUGAUCAGUCACACUGGAACUGAGACACGGUCCAGACUCCUACGGGAGGCAGCAGUGGGGAAUAUUGGACAAUGGGCGAAAGCCUGAUCCAGCCAUGCCGCGUGUGUGAAGAAGGUCUUCGGAUUGUAAAGCACUUUAAGUUGGGAGGAAGGGCAGUAGUUAAUACCUUGCUGUUUUGACGUUACCAACAGAAUAAGCACCGGCUAACUUCGUG